rnacentral:sRNA from 1 species
AUCAUCAAUCUGCUGUGGGCAGAUGUAAUGAAUAUGGCUGUCGAAACCACCAGCGCUCAGGAUGCGGCCUUCGCCUGCGAUGGCCUCGGUGCCGGGGCCGAUGAUGAUGUCGACACUGGGCUGCGUGUCCGGAUUGCCCGCCUUGCCAAUCUUGUGGAUGCGCCCGUCCUUCAAUCCCACAUCCGCUUUGUAAAUGCCCGAAUGGUCCACGAUCAGCGCAUUGGUGAUGACGGUGUCUACGGCGCCCUCUGCCCGUGUGGCUUGGGAUUGUCCCAUCCCGUCGCGGAU